rnacentral:rRNA from 1 species
CAAGUAGAACGCUGAAGCUUGGUGCUUGCACCGAGCGGAUGAGUUGCGAACGGGUGAGUAACGCGUAGGUAACCUGCCUGGUAGCGGGGGAUAACUAUUGGAAACGAUAGCUAAUACCGCAUAACAGUCGACAUUGCAUGAUGUUGAUUUGAAAGGGGCAAUUGCUCCACUACCAGAUGGACCUGCGUUGUAUUAGCUAGUUGGUGAGGUAACGGCUCACCAAGGCGACGAUACAUAGCCGACCUGAGAGGGUGAUCGGCCACACUGGGACUGAGACACGGCCCAGACUCCUACGGGAGGCAGCAGUAGGGAAUCUUCGGCAAUGGACGGAAGUCUGACCGAGCAACGCCGCGUGAGUGAAGAAGGUUUUCGGAUCGUAAAGCUCUGUUGUAAGAGAAGAACGAGUGUGAGAGUGGAAAGUUCACACUGUGACGGUAACUUACCAGAAAGGGACGGCUAACUACGUGCCAGCAGCCGCGGUAAUACGUAGGUCCCGAGCGUUAUCCGGAUUUAUUGGGCGUAAAGCGAGCGCAGGCGGUUAGAUAAGUCUGAAGUUAAAGGCUGUGGCUUAACCAUAGUACGCUUUGGAAACUGUUUAACUUGAGUGCAGAAGGGGAGAGUGGAAUUCCAUGUGUAGCGGUGAAAUGCGUAGAUAUAUGGAGGAACACCGGUGGCGAAAGCGGCUCUCUGGUCUGUAACUGACGCUGAGGCUCGAAAGCGUGGGGAGCAAA